GAAGAACCUAGAAAGGGUAGAAGGAAAGUUUUUUUCCUCCCCCAAUAGUUGGUGUAUCCGGCAGAAUCCUUCACUGGCUGGAAAAGCUGUUUUCCGAAGACUGCUGCAGAUAAAGAGAUCCUGGGACAUUUGACAAAAGCUGGCAGAAGACAGUGGCUUCCGAAGUGACACUUCUAGUGGCCCAUGGAGCAAGUUCUGUUCAGAAGCCACGCGGCAAUGGAGGAGACCAUCUACAGGCUGUGCUUGCAUCCAGACUGUGCAGGUGUAAUCGGCAGCAACACGGCAGAGAUGAAUGACUUUGAUCUAAAGAGGGCCAGGGGUGGAGCAGCCAAGCAUGAUACGAUGGAAGAAAGUUCAGAUACAAGGUUAUUCCCAGACUUUAAAGAGAGGCGCUUUGAAAAUCAUGCAUGUAUGUUGAAUUUUUUGACAUCGAGAUCUUUUCUGUCUUCUCUUCCCCCAUCAGACUAAUAAUGUGUUUUUCCUCUGUAAAUUCUCAGGCGACAUGUCACCUUCCUUGCAAAUCUAUUGCGAAGUAAUCGCAUCUCUGUAUUAGGUUCCAUGUUCUAAAAAUGUCAAAACAAAUCUCAAUGAUUAAAUGCCAUGGGUUAAGCUUGUUACUUACUUUCCUAAAAUUGAUGUGAAGGAUACAUUUUAAUUAGAAAAUUAUAAACCUGAACUGCUGAAUCACCAAACCAUCUCCAAAAUAUGUAUGAAGCCCUAACUCUGAAAAAAGAAGUUACGUUCUCUCUGAUGACAAGAUCUUGUUAAAUAAUCAGCCGCAUCUCAUCCCAUUUCACUUUGGUUGAAAUUUUGCCCUGAGGCAGCUGAGAGGAAGACAUCUUUUAUAAAGGUCAUUUAUGAGAGAACCUUUGAAUUUUUUUCUCUGUCUAUAAACUCUGAUUAAAUAUGCAUUUAAUGGUGUGAUUUUGACCAGGGAGCUUUUUGCUAGUAUCGAAGUGACUGUUACUCCCUGGCAUAGUUUACCCACAGCACUAGACUAGAUUUUCAGAUUUUUCUGCUUCUUCGUAGCUAAAGACAAAGUCCAAGAAGUUGUAAUACUUUAUGAAAACUGCCCCUUAUGUUAUGCAUAUGGGGGGGUCUCUCUAGGGAAAGCUGCCCUGCAUUAAAAUGCUAUGGC